UGGUGGUGUUUUUAACCGU
rnacentral:siRNA from 1 species